UGAGGAAGCUUAAUGAGCUCAUUGAGAAUUACCAAAAGCUACAGGGAAACUACAAUGAUCUUACUGCAAAUUAUGUCAACAUGAAAACGGAAAUCGAAACUAUCAACAACAGACAAGACAAGAGGAAAUGAACAAUACAAUUUCUGAACUGAUGAACACAAUAGAAGGAAUCAAAAGCAGGAUUGAUGAAGCAGAAGAUCGGAUUAGCGAGCUAGAGGA